CUCCGGCCGCCGCCGCCACCAGGAGCUGCGGCGGCGGCUGCUCCUUUUUGCAGCCGAAGUCCGGCCUCAGGAUGUUGUCGAUGAAAAAGUUGGUGGUGCGGUGCAGCUGGGCCGCGGGCUGCGGCUGGAUUUCAUUGGAUGGGGGUGAGGAUGUUUCUCGGCUGGAAUUAUCUUGUGUGAACACGCUGGGGAGGACCCAUGAGGAGGAUCCGUGAGGAGGACCGGUGUCAUGGGGCCAGUGAGAACAUAAUGGAUGCUAAUGUGGAAGGCUUAGACGAGAAGACCAAGGCCCCAGAUUUGGGUCAGUGUUAAAGAGAGGACCAAAGAAGAACCGAGGCCAGAAACAAAGCUGAGGCCACGCACACCCUGAGUCCACCUCCACCCCCCCCCCCGGGAGUGGACUGGCCCCUAAUCAGAGGCUCCCUCACGGACAGUGUCCCGAGAGCCGAAAAGGGAAGCAUUAAGACCAAUGUCGGAUAGCUCAAACCUCAAACCACUUCCCCUUGAACUCUCCAUGAAAUUAAUAAAGCGCGGAA